AUGGUGUCCUUCACCCAUCCCACCUUCCAUCCUGGCCUCUGCAUUUCUAGCGUUUCAUCCUUUAUUUUAGACAAACUGAUUGUUUUCUCUGCAAAACAUCUCCCCUCCAACCCACUUGCACCUUCCUUCGUUCUUCUGCACCUUCAACAUGCCCUUGUUGAUUUCCCUUCUCCAGAGGCAAAUGCAAUCCUGACAAUUAGUUAUUGACGGGACAAAUACAUCCUGCAGGCAAAGGCGACGUGGAGUUAUGGUUAUUUUGGACAGGGCCAAACUGAUAAGGGGGCUCUCUCCUCAGAAGAUUGUCUCUGUGUUUGGAAGUUCACAAUCCACUCUAUGGGAUUAAACAGAAGGAGAAUAAAUUAUCCUUGCUUUAUCCUUUGAGUAUCUGUUGAAAAGAUCAGCGUUGAGUGCAUACUGGAUCCUCUUUACUUAGUUUAGACAGGUGAGGAAAAGCAACCCUGUGUCAG
rnacentral:lncRNA from 1 species